rnacentral:misc_RNA from 1 species
GUGAUCAGGAUCUGAAACCACGUUUUCAUUCAUCACGACUUCAUGGAUCAGAUAGUGUGGAUGGUGAUGAUGAUGACAUAGUUAAUAUAUGGAAUUUAAGGAAAUGCAGUGCAGCUGCUCUUGAUGUUCUAUCAAAUGUGUUUGGAGAUGAGAUUCUUCCAACAUCUGCUGCCUGUUGUUCAGGGCAAGUUGUCUGCCACUGGUGAUGAAGGCUGGAAAGACAGGGAAGCAGCUGUCUUGGCUCUUGGUGCUGUAGCUGAGGGUUGUAUUAAUGGUCUUUAUCCUCAUCUCUCUCAGAUCGUGGAAUUUCUUAUUCCCUUGUUGGAUGAUAAGUUUCCCGUCAUACGGAGUAUUUCUUGCUGGACGCUUUCUAGAUUCAGCAAAUACAUUGUUCAGGAAAGUGGCCACAAAAAAGGAUAUGAACUGUUUGACAAGGUUCUUAUAGGUCUUUUACGGAGAAUAUUGGAUACUAACAAGCGGGUCCAAGAAGCUGCUUGUUCAGCUUUUGCAACACUAGAAGAGGAGGCUGCCGAAGAGUUGGCACCCCGCUUAGACAUUAUUCUACAGCAUCUCAUGUGUGCUUUUGGGAAAUAUCAGAGACGGAAUCUCAGAAUUGUAUAUGAUGCUAUUGGAACUCUUGCGGAUGCUGUUGGAGCAGAACUGAAUCAGCCCACAUAUCUUGAAAUUUUGAUGCCACCAUUGAUCGGAAAGUGGCAGCAGCUUUCAAAUUCAGAUAAAGAUCUCUUUCCAUUGCUUGAGUGCUUUACAUCCAUAGCACAGGCAUUGGGUCCGGGGUUCUCUCAAUUCGCUGAGCCUGUGUUUCAGAGGUGUAUACAUAUCAUCCAGAG